rnacentral:lncRNA from 1 species
ACUGAUAAAGUGAAGGUGGAGGAAGGAUGAGACUAAGGACUUGAUCCAAGUUCAACUCCUCACUUGCCACUAUUUUAUUAUUAUUAUUAUUAUUAUUAUUGGAUAAAGACAACAUGAAGAUGAUGAUAAGAAGUGAUAAGGUAAGGUUUGUUCUGUUUCUGUGGAAGUGAUGAAUACAGCUUUGUCCACGUUGCGUAUGUUUUGGGGAAGUUCUGUUAUAUAUAUAUAUAUAUACACACGCGGACGGAGUCCGUGGCUUUUAACGCACGGUGAUAUUUAUUUUAAAUUUUAAAUAGUCCAAAUAAUUUAUUGAAUGAGCGAUAAAUUCAAAAUUAUUUAUAUUUUAUUAGAUAGAUAGAUAUAUAAUCUGUAGAUAACAAUUUUAAUAUAGAUUACGUUGCACGUAAUCACAUAACUUA